rnacentral:rRNA from 1 species
AACGAACGCUGGCGGCAUGCCUAACACAUGCAAGUCGAACGAGACCUUCGGGUCUAGUGGCGCCCGGGUGCGUAACGCGUGGGAACCUGCCCUUAGGCUCGGAAUAACUCCCCGAAAGGGGUGCUAAUACCGGAUAAUGUCUUCGGACCAAAGAUUUAUCGCCUUUGGAUGGGCCCGCGUUGGAUUAGCUCGUUGGUAGGGUAAAAGCCUACCAAGGCGACGAUCCAUAGCUGGUCUGAGAGGAUGAUCAGCCACACUGGGACUGGGACACGGCCCAGACUCCUACGGGAGGCAGCAGUGGGGAAUAGUGGACAAUGGGCGAAAGCCUGAUCCAGCAAUGCCGCGUGAGUGAUGAAGGCCUUAGGGUUGUAAAGCUCUUUUACCCGGGAUGAUAAUGACAGUACCGGGAGAAUAAGCUCCGGCUAACUCCGUG